CCUGACUGGAACAAGCUUCUCCUCUCUCUUUGAUGUGAACGAUACAAAACAUACUUAACGAAGAUCUGUUAUCAUCAAACAAUCCAACAUUAAAAAAAAGAAACAAGUUGAAGACUCCAUUGUGAGUAGAAUGUCGAGAAGCUUUAAGAGUAUAUGCUGCAUAGGAAGUUACUCUGAAAAUACAUGAAAAACAUUUAAUAAUAAACAUUGCAGGGAAAAAUAGUGACAUGCAUCACGUGUAACUGUAUCAGAUGGAACGACUACAAUGUACCAACAUCAUACCAUACGGCAAUUAAGAUUAUAGUACACUAUAAUUUUAUUACAUGACAAGAGGCUUCAUAUUUUGCAUUUUGAAAAGGGCACUAUAGUCACCCAGACCAUUUCAUCUCAUGGAAGCAGACUGGGUGCAGGGUGCCUGCCCCUCUUAGUCCUGCAAUGUAAAACAUGUUUUUAAGAAACUGCACAGUUUACAUUGUGGAACUAAGACUGCCCCCAGUGGCAGCUCGCUACCGGGAGUCUAUGGGAUUCCGAGUCUCUGCUUGAGGACAUCCAGCAUCAGUUAAAUCCCCAUAGGAAAGCAUUGAUUCAAUGAUUUCCUAAUGCAUGCGCAUAAGUUUCCUCCCCCAUUGGAUGAUAGUGGUGAGUAAAUUAAGGGUUGUUUAACUCUUUAUCUGCUGGAGGACCCCCUGACUAUAACAGAUACUAGCAGAAAUAUUUAUACAUAAAUAAAAUAUAUUAAAUAAUUACCUCCCGGCUAUAUGAGAUACUAGCAGACAUAUUUAUACAUAAAUAAAAUGUAUUAAAUACAUAUCCCCUGGCUAUAUUAACUACUAG